rnacentral:tRNA from 1 species
GGGUCGAUGCCCGAGUGGUUAAAGGGGAUGAGUUGUAACCUCAUUGGUUUUGCCUACGUUGGUUCAAAUCCAGCUCGGCCCA